UUAAAGGAACCCAGCUGCUUUCAGAGUUCAGCAGCUGAGCUGUGGGGCGGGAUAAAGGUUCCCCAGGAUGGGAGGGAGAUGCAAACCCUUCAUCUGCCCUUUGGGGCUGAGGCUCCUCCUGCCACUGGCAUCGAGUUUCCAUACUCCUGCAGCAGUCCUCUUCCUGCCAGCCAGCCGUGUUCCUGUUUUCUUUGUCGUUUUAAAGUCAGUUCAUGGGCAAGUGAACGUGGGCAAAUCCAAGCAAGGGUGAACUACCUAACGCCAAGAAGUCUCAGCAAAGCACACCCCAUCCUGCACAGUGGGGUUUUGCACGGCAGUGCCGUGUUAGCUGGGGGCACACACAGGUGAGGGGCUGGGGGCACACCAGCACCGGGCACCCCGGGCAUGACAGCAGUGGAAGCUGCAGCGAGCAGCAGCAGCAGCAGCAGCAGCACGGCUCCUGCCUUGGUGGUGCGGCAGGGGUGGCUGGGGGCUUGCAGCUCAUGGGGUGUUCCAAGCAGCGGCCAGGCCCCAGGCAGAGAUGCUUCUUCUUCUGCCAUUUCUAAAUUUCCAGGGCCAAAUACGAGGCAGAGAAAAGGAUCCUCCAUAUGUGCCUUGCCAAACACUCGCAGAUGCAAGCCCAGAUGGCAGCUCCCACUCUGCAGUACCUUCUCCCUGUUCUUUUCACGGUGUCGGGAGCCUUCCUUGGUAUCAGAUGCCGAGUGUGUAUUUGCUGUUUAUGUUCAGGGAGACUGGAGCUACUAUUUUGGAGCAGGGAAGGGAAUGGAAGAGCAAUCAUUUGUGCUGAUUGCUAAUUUGAAUAAGCUUAUUUUUUAGCUUCAGCACCACAGGAUCUACCUUUGAAUAUCAAACGAGGACACGGCACGUUGUUGCCUGUGUAUAUCGAUGCCCGUGCUGCACAGUGCUUUGGGCUGGCAGGGCCGGGCCGUGUGGCUGGUCUGGGCUCCAUCCCGCCCGGUGCUGGUGGCAGCCAGCAGUCCUGCCCCGCCACAGCCCUGCCCGUGUGGCCAUGAUGGAGUGCACGGUGGCCCAGAAGUGACCAGGCUGAUUGCCAUCGUGCUGCUGGCCAGGCACGAGACCACACAGGCUGCCCUGUGUCACCUGCAAUCGCCAGAGAAAUGCAAGUGGUCCCUGGCCAAGGAUGACCCCUCCCCACAGCAGGGCCAUGCUAUGCCGUGCCGUGCCAUGCCGUGCCAUGCCGUGCCGUGCCAUGCCGUGCCGUGCCAUGCCGUGCCAUGCCGUGCUGUGCUGUGCUGUGCCAUGCUGUGCCAGAUCGCUCCUCCAGCGGGUGAGGGACGUGCUCGUGUGCCGGGGCAGCAGCACCCUGUGCCGGCUGGCGUCAGCCCGGGGACAUCUGCGACCCCCCCGCUAGCCCCGAAGGAAGGGAAUACCUGUCAGCGUGCCAGACCCUUCAGAUGUCUCUUUCUUAUAGAGAAGAUUUUGGGAUAAAAGGUUCAGUCUAAUUUAUUCCAUCAGUGUAACAGUUAAGCAUUCAAUUACAAUAUUGGAAACAGCUUUGCAAAAGAAAAGCAUCGGAAAACCAGAGCCGCCUUGCACGGUUUGCAGCGCUCUGCAGUCUCUUCCCUCCCACCCUUCCCUGCUGCAUGUUGCUUACCGGGGGCCCUGCUGUCACAGCCCUCUGCCUGGGGUUUCUGCCCCCAAACCAGCAGUGGUUCCUGUUGCCAUUUCUGCUGCAGGGAAACCACCUCCUUCACUCCCACCCACCCCUGGAAGGCAGUUUCUAAACUGGUCACUUUGUGAUUCCAGUUCCUGCAAAACUGAAGGUGUUUCCUGUCCUCCCCGUCUUAUCCUGGUGCCCCAAGAACCUGCAGGGGAGAGCAAAAAGAAAAGAUGGUUUGGAAACAGAUGAAACCCUGAGCAGACCCAGUGAAGGUGAAAACCAGACAGACCUGGGUCAGAAGAGGGGGGAAUGUGGGGAGAGGCUGGGAGGGGGUGGCUGGGCAUGGAGCAGUCCUGUGGGAGGGCUGGGACCAAGCUGGGGCUGGGACCUGCCGCUAUGCGUGGGGCAGCCGGAGCCCCCAUGGCCAGACACCAGCAUGGCUGGGGCACCCCAGUCCUGGAGCUGCCAUCCGCAGGGAGACCAGGGCACGGGGAUGUGGCUGUGCCUGCUGGGCUCUGCCCUGUUGGUUAUAGGCACUGACUUUCUGGAGCACCAACUUCGUCCAAUUUAAAUAAACAAACCCUGAAAACAGGGAAUUGUAAUUGAAAUGCUGAGAGAUUCUUAUCGAUAGCAUCAGAGGGUGCAGUGUUGUAAUAAGCAGUCCUUCUCAGAUGCUAGGAGUUAUUGAGGUUGCUCCAUAUCUAUGACAGUUUAAUCAGAUCUUGAAAAUCAGGGACAUUAUAUUUUGCACCUGCUCAUGGAAAAAAAAUGAAUGAUGCGGCUCCCCGUCAUGGAUCUUUUAUGCACAAGGCAGGCUACCGAGAGUACAUAAUUCAGAGGGGAAAUGGAAUUACACCAUGAAUGAAGACUAAGCCCAGAGAGUGGUUGAAUGUCACACCGGGUGGAAGAGGAACAUCUCUUCUUUCCUCUUACCCAGCCUUGACAAAUGAGAUGCAGGUGAAAUUUAUGGAGGCUCUUCCACCACCGAGGGAAGAGAAAGGGCUGUGAGCACCAGGAGAUUUUUAAGAGAACAUUUCAGAGAAAAGCUGCCUUGGUUGGGGUGACCAGGACACAGGAACAGAUACGUUUGCUUUUCUUCUCCUUUUAUUAUCUUGAGUAUGUGAAUAUACUUGCUUGCUUAAUCUGUGCAUUAACUUAUCCUAUUGCCAGUACUUAAAAUGCAUGAAAAACAUACAGCCAGAAGGUUUAAAUACAAAUCCGUUCACUUAUAAGUGGCCUUAACAUCUGUGAAAGGUUCCAAGUCCUUAGACAAGAAGCAAAAUAAUGGAUUUAGUUUUGAUUUCUAAAACACCACCCAGAGGUGAGGAGUGAAUUCAGCAGAAAUCAGAAUGGAUUUACUUUCAUUUUUCUGUGGAAGCAUGAAAGCAGAGACGUCAAAGAGAGUUCAUUGCUGAAGGAGGUUCAUUAUCUGUCCCACCCAGAACGUGGGAGACUGAGCUGGAAAGCCACUACCCGCAGAAGAGCCCCGUGCUGGUGCAGGGCAUUCACAACUCGACGGUUUCUCCUCUGCAAUCCCCUUAUCGCAGUGUCGGAUGUGCAGAAGCUCAAUGCACAGUAGUCACCAUAAGGCAAUAAACAUUUACCCACAGCUCCUACAGCCAGCCGUUAGAAGCUGCCAUUGUUUUAUCUGAUUAAUCAGUGAACUGAACAGCCAAUGAUGCUGCAUUUAGGGGCUACUACUGCUGCAUGUGCUGGCCCCAAGCCCCCACACGGCUAAUAUGUGCCUGUCCUGAAGUGGCACCCGGCAAGGGCACGGCUCCUCGGGCCGGGCAGAUGCGACCGUGCCUGCGGCUCUGCUCUGCCCCACGCCAUGGGCAGCAGCUGCCUGUGGAGCCUGAGCAGGGAGCGCGGGUGGAGCGCUGCUCGCUGCCUUCCCUGGGGGUCAAAUCAGCUUACAAAAUGCUGCAUAAGUACUGCUGAAUAAAGAGCGGAGCUUUUGAAGCUGCUAUUUGGUCAUGGAAAGAAAGGCUAAAAUGUUUGUGGCAAAUUAUUCAUUCAGCUCUGCCAAUAGAAGCGGUCACGUCAAAUCAGGCACAAAACUGCAGCUUUUCUGGUGUCGAGCAUUCAGACUGCAGUUCUCUUUGAUCUGCUCUGGGUGAGAGGAGGGCAAAGGCAGAGAUGCCUCCAAGGAAGGAGCCUUUCAGCAGCUGCCCUGCUUGUGCCUUGUGCCCAGGAGGGUCUCCAGGCCCGUGGCUGUGCCUCCUGCGAGAGUUCCCUGAGCAAGCACCGUCGCGGUCAGCCUGCCUGCCAGCAAAGCUGCUGCAUUCGUCUGUCUGCGGGAAAGUGAAGUGUGUUUGAGGAGCCCAUUGUAUCUGACAGUGCUUUGGAGAUUGUCCUGAAGGGCAGCAUGAUCUCAGGGGUGAAUGCAAAAGCAACAAGACCAAGGUCAACGCCACACAGUGAUAACAAAAUAAGCUCUCUUACUUCUCCUGCCCCAACAAGGGUCGUGUGAGACUCUGAGCUCCUGUCAAGCAAGGCUGAGCAAAAGGUCUUUAUCCUGUUGGCAUCUGUGUAGCUAUUCCGACCCAGGCUGAAUACCUGGCUUGCUCACAAGAUCACCUUCUAACUACCAACAGCAGGCAAAUACCACCAAAAACCCACUGCCCCCAGGGCUAUCUGCAGCAUCUUCACUUUCCCCUGUGUCUGGCUUCAUGUAACUGCUGCGGAUGUGGCAUCUUGUGGGAUGCUGCGGGUUCAGAGGCCAGUUCAGCAGCUCAAAGGGGUAGCUAUGAGUAGCAUUGGCCCUCAGUGCGACCCCAAAGGCAGCAGUGUGGUGGGACAGGACCUUUCCCACACUCAGAGGCGGCGUUUCCUUUUUCUCAUCUGAAGUCUGUCGGAAUUUCUUUCUCAAUUGCAUCUGGUUGUCAUCCUCCCAUCCACCCCACAUUGACUUUUUAUUUCUCUGAAAGCCUUCUCAUUCCUUUUCUGCCUUCCCGAAAUAGCACAGGCUUCUGCUGGCGUUUUCCCCAGCUGCCACGUGGGCAGGAAGGCUGCCCUCUGCGGAGACUUCGCACCUCCGGGAGCGGGUGUGCUCCCCGCAGGGAGCGCUCGCUGCUGGCAGAAAUCUCCUCCUCUGCAGAAGCCCGCAAGCCCAGAAGGAUUCUCAUGGCAAAGCUUUUCCCUUGCUGGAGAAAUGUGAUAGCUCUUGGACAGGGUCUCUUCUAAAGAACUUGUCACCGGGGAGAACUCCACUUUGAAGUUCUUAAUCCCGCUCCUCCCUCUGAAUGAGAUCCCCAAGAAAGAGAGCUCUCCAUUCUUCACGAAGCUGAAAUAUUUAAAAGAGGAAAGCCUUAAAUAUUAAUGGAGAGCCUUGCACUGUUUUUGAGGAAGCAUCGUGAAACAGAAAGUGCUCCAGGAAACCGCCACAGACACACGGUUCUCACAUGCAGCUGAGCGCAGACAUCCAAACAUCUGCAACAAACCCGCAGCUGUGGGCUCUGGUAUCCCUUUCUGGUUAGGGCUAUUUCUACAGAAGGGUUUGGCAAGGGGCUAGAGUUGGUCUUUCAGCAAAUGCUGAUGUUUUCUUCAUGAUCACACGUGCUCUGUGUGCUGCCAACCCCUGCUCAGUGCUGGUGGGGCACAGCAGUUUGCUGCCUGGUGCCAGCAUGGGGCCAGACAGGCUCCGGGGCGCUUCAGAGCGGUGCUGGCAGGAGCCGGCAGGAGCCAGACACAUCUGGAGCACAAACGGUGCCGCGGCCAUGGACGGGAGUGUGGUGGCUCCCAGACCACUGGUGGGCAGCCCCGCUGCUGGCCGCAGAGCUCUGCUGCAUGCCAUAAGGUGGCAGGGCCAUGGCUGGCCGCAGCAGGACACGGCGCUCACCCUGGUGUCAGCAAAGCCCUGCCCUGCCAGAUCUGGCCUUCACCUGGCUCUGUUGUGAUGGAACCCAGCAGAGCAGAGCCCUGUUCUGCUGCUGAACAGCACCUGCUUGUCCCAGGCAGGAAGGGCCGCCUGCGAGCAGCUGGUGCUGUGCCGAGGAGCGCCGAGCUGUGGAUGAGGUUGGGUAUUUUUAGGGCUGUGGAGAGAGAGCCACAUAGCUGAACUUCUGUGGUGCUGGCCUGCUGCUGUGUGCCCUUAGUUACUGCUGUGAGUUUUGAAUCAAAAAUUGCUGUUUCUGAAAAAAAACAACAAAA